GUUCUUUCUCAGCUGUUUCCCAGGCUCCUGCCUGGUUGGAAAUUUUGGUUUUCUUCCAUCCCCUCAGGAUUCCCUCAUUUGUGGGGGAUUUUCCCUGUGGGAAUUCCAUCCCCUUGGGAAUUCCCUCAUUUGUGGGGGAUUUUCCCUGUGGGAAUCCCAUCCCCUGAGGAAUUCCCUCACUCCUGGGAUUUUCCCUGUGGGAAUCCCACCCCCUUGGGAAUUCCCUCACUCGUGGGGGAUUUUCCCUGUGGGAAUUCCAUCCCUGGGGAUUCCCUCACUCCAGGGGAUUUUCCCUGUGGGAAUCCCAUCCCCUGGGGAUUCCCUCACUUGUGGGGGAUUUUCCCUGUGGGAAUCCCACCCCCUUGGGAAUUCCCUCACUUGUGGGGGAUUUUCCCUGUGGGAAUUCCAUCCCUGGGGAUUCCCUCACUCGUGGGGGAUUUUCCCUGUGGGAAUCCCAUCCCCUUGGGAAUUCCUCACUCCAGGGGAUUUUCCCUGUGGGAAUUCCAUCCCUGGGGAUUCCUUCACUUGUGGGGGAUUUUCCCUGUGGGAAUUCCAUCCCCUGGGGAAUUCCUUCACUCCCGGGCUUUUCCCUGUGGGAAUUCCAUCCCCUGUGGGAAUUCCCUCACUUCCGGGCUUUUCCCCGUGGGAAUUCCCUCACUUCCGGGCUUUUCCCUGUGGGAAUUCCCUCACUCCCGGGCUUUCCCCCGUGGGAAUUCCCUCACUCCCGAGCUUUCCCCCGUGGGAAUCCCCUCACUCCCGAGCUUUUCCCUGUGGGAAUCCCCUCACUCCCGAGCUUUUCCCCGUGGAAAUCCCCUCACUCCCNNNNNNNNNNUCCCGAGCUUUUCCCCGUGGAAAUCCCCUCACUCCCGAGCUUUUCCCUGUGGGAAUUCCCUCACUCCCGGGCUUUCCCCCGUGGGAAUUCCCUCACUCCCGGUCUUUCCCCCGUGGGAAUUCCCUCACUCCUGGGCUUUUCCCUGUGGGAAUUCCAUCCCCUGGGGAUUCCUGACUGGGAUUGGGGAUUUUCCCUGUGGGAAUCCCAUCCCCUGGGGAAUUCCCUCACUCCUGGGAUUUUCCCUGUGGGAAUUCCCUCACUUGUGGGGGAUUUUCCCUGUGGGAAUUCCAUCCCCUGGGGAUUCCUGA
rnacentral:lncRNA from 1 species